CAAAAGGCUGAUAACAUCGACUGAUUUCUAGUCUGGAUGUAGUCUGCAACGUCGGAGGUGUAUUUUGGAUCCUCUUCUUGUGAAUGCCAUAGUAUCGAUGAUAACAUCAACUGUUUGUGGUCAUGUCUGCAUCGGAGGUGUAUUGGAGUCUUGUGAUUGCCUCGUAGCGGUGCUAACAGCAGUGUUUGUGAGUGGAGCUCUGCUUUGUG